rnacentral:rRNA from 1 species
UGAGGAAUAUUGGUCAAUGGGCGCAGGCCUGAACCAGCCAAGUCGCGUGAGGGAAGACGGUCCUACGGAUUGUAAACCUCUUUUGUCGGGGAGUAACGUGCGGGACGGGUCCCGUAUUGAGAGUACCCGAAGAAAAAGCAUCGGCUAACUCCGUGCCAGCAGCCGCGGUAAUACGGAGGAUGCGAGCGUUAUCCGGAUUUAUUGGGUUUAAAGGGUGCGCAGGCGGGCGUCUAAGUCAGCGGUGAAAGUUCCCGGCUCAACCGGGUCAGUGCCGAUGAUACUGGGGGUCUUGAAUGCGGUCGAGGCCGGCGGAAUGUGGCGUGUAGCGGUGAAAUGCAUAGAUAUGCCACAGAACACCGAUAGCGAAGGCAGCUGGCCGGACCUGCAUUGACGCUGAGGCACGAAAGCGUGGGGAUCGAACAGGAUUAGAUACCCUGGUAGU